AGACUCCUCAAACACAGCGUAUUUGAAGAUCUGAUGGCGGAAAUUUCUCAAUCAACAGAUGAAGGGCUUAUGCCCAAAACAUUGACCCUCCUGCUCCUCGGAUGCUGUCUGACAUCCCUGUGCUUUUCCAGUGCCACAUUUUUCGACUGACUCUCCAGCAUUUGCGAUCCUCACUUCGCCGUCAAUGUCUGACAGUCACUCAGUCCACCAGGACUGCAACGAUUUUCGACUGAUUUCUGUGAGAGGGAUCAAAGCUUUUUGGUUCCUGACUGAGUGAGUAUGUUUUCAGCAUCUCUGGGACUGGACGAGAGACCCCACUGUUGCAGCGUACUGUGCGUGGAGCGUGUAGCAGCUAUACGACCUGGAAAGAGGAACUCACAACAGGAAGGGGCUGGAAAUUCGAUUGUGUGCGGCUGAAGCUUCAUCCAUGGAGAAACCCAAGGAAUCCCGCCCUGUGGAGAAACCGUGGAAGUGUGGCGACUGUGGGAAAGGCUUCCGUGUCCCGUCUGCCCUGGAGACUCAUCGGUGCAGUCACACCGGUGAGAGGCCAUUCCCCUGCCCUGUCUGUGGGAAGGCCUCCCACCUGCUGGCCCACCAGCGGGACCACACGGGGGAAAGGCCCUUCAGCUGUCCCGAUUGUGGGAAGGCCUUCAUGUUUUUCUCUGCCCUGUUGGCCCACCAGUGGGUCCACACGGGGGAGAGGCCCUUCAGCUGCUCUGAGUGCUGGAAGGCCUUCAGCAAUUACUCCAGCCUCCAGACCCACCAGCGGGUCCACACGGGGGAG